GAUGAACGCUGGCGGCGUGCCUAAUACAUGCAAGUCGAGCGAACAGACGAGGAGCUUGCUCCUCUGACGUUAGCGGCGGACGGGUGAGUAACACGUGGAUAACCUACCUAUAAGACUGGAUAACUUCGGGAAAACGGAGCUAAUUCCGGAUAAUAUAUUGAACCGCAUGGUUUCAUAGUGAAAGACGGUUUUGCUGUCACCUAUAGAUGGAUCCGCGCCGCAUUAGCUAGUUGGUAAGGUAACGGCUUACCAAGGCAACGAUGCGUAGCCGACCUGAGAGGGUGAUCGGCCACACUGGAACUGAGACACGGUCCAGACUCCUACGGGAGGCAGCAGUAGGGAAUCUUCCGCAAUGGGCGAAAGCCUGACGGAGCAACGCCGCGUGAGUGAUGAAGGUCUUCGGAUCGUAAAACUCUGUUAUUAGGGAAGAACAAAUGUGUAAGUAACUAUGCACGUCUUGACGGUACCUAAUCAGAAAGCCACGGCUAACUACGUG
rnacentral:rRNA from 1 species